UUCCUACGGGAGGCUGCAGUGGGGAAUCUUGGACAAUGGGCGCAAGCCUGAUCCAGCCAUGCCGCGUGAGUGAAGAAGGUCUUCGGAUUGUAAAGCUCUUUUACCAGGGACGAUAAUGACGGUACCUGGAGAAUAAGCCCCGGCAAACUUCGUGCCAGCAGCCGCGGUAAUACGAAGGGGGCUAGCGUUGUUCGGAAUUACUGGGCGUAAAGCGCACGUAGGCGGGCUAUUAAGUCAGGGGUGAAAUCCCGGAGCUCAACUCCGGAACUGCCUUGGAUACUGGUAGUCUAGGGAUCGGAAGAGGUGAGUGGAAUUCCCAGUGUAGGGGUGAAAUUCGUAGAUAUUGGGAAGAACACCAGUGGCGAAGGCGGCUAACUGGUCCGAUACUGACGCUGAGGUGCGAAAGCGUGGGGAGCAAACAGGAUUAGAUACCCCUGUAGUC
rnacentral:rRNA from 1 species